rnacentral:rRNA from 1 species
AUUGAACACUGGCGGCAUGCCUUAUACAUGCAAGUCGAACGGUAACAGGUCUUCGGAUGCUGACGAGUGGCGAACGGGUGAGUAAUACAUCGGAACGUGCCUAGUAGUGGGGGAUAACUACUCGAAAGAGUGGCUAAUACCGCAUGAGAUCUACGGAUGAAAGCAGGGGAUCGCAAGACCUUGUGCUACUAGAGCGGCCGAUGGCAGAUUAGGUAGUUGGUGGGAUAAAAGCUUACCAAGCCGACGAUCUGUAGCUGGUCUGAGAGGACGAUCAGCCACACUGGGACUGAGACACGGCCCAGACUCCUACGGGAGGCAGCAGUGGGGAAUUUUGGACAAUGGGCGCAAGCCUGAUCCAGCAAUGCCGCGUGCAGGAUGAAGGCCUUCGGGUUGUAAACUGCUUUUGUACGGAACGAAAAGCCCUGGGUUAAUACCCUGGGGUCAUGACGGUACCGUAAGAAUAAGCACCGGCUAACUACGUGCCAGCAGCCGCCGUAAGAC